GACGAACGCUGGCGGCGUGCCUAAUACAUGCAAGUCGAACGCACAGUUUAUACCGUAGCUUGCUACACCAUAGACUGUGAGUUGCGAACGGGUGAGUAACGCGUAGGUAACCUGCCUGGUAGCGGGGGAUAACUAUUGGAAACGAUAGCUAAUACCGCAUAAUAUUAAUUAUUGCUUGAUAAUUAAUUGAAAGGUGCAAUUGCACCACUACCAGAUGGACCUGCGUUGUAUUAGCUAGUAGGUGAGGUAACGGCUCACCUAGGCGACGAUACAUAGCCGACCUGAGAGGGUGAUCGGCCACACUGGGACUGAGACACGGCACAGACUGCUACGGGAGGCAGCAGUAGGGAAUCUUGGGCAAUGGACGAAAGUCUGACCGAGCAACGCCGCGUGAGGGAAGAAGGUUUUCGGAUCGUAAAGCUCUGUUGUCAGGGAAGAACGGGUGUGAGAGUGGAAAGUUCACACUGUGACGGUAACUGACAAGAAAGGGACGGCUAACUACGUG
rnacentral:rRNA from 1 species